rnacentral:rRNA from 1 species
GAUGAACGCUAGCUACAGGCUUAACACAUGCAAGUCGAGGGGAAACGGGAGAAUAGCUUGCUAUUCUUUGUCGUCGACCGGCGCACGGGUGAGUAACGCGUAUCCAACCUUCCCAUAACUAAGGAAUACCCCGUAGAAAUGCGGCCUAAUUCCUUAUGGUCUCUUAUGCCUGUCAUGGGAAUAAGAGUAAAGAUUUAUCGGUUAUGGAUGGGGAUGCGUCUGAUUAGCUUGCUGGCGGGGUAACGGCCCACCAGGGCAUCGAUCAGUAGGGGUUCUGAGAGGAAGGUCCCCCACAUUGGAACUGAGACACGGUCCAAGCUCCUACGGGAGGCAGCAGUGAGGAAUAUUGGUCAAUGGGCGGAAGCCUGAACCAGCCAAGUAGCGUGCAGGAUGACGGCCCUAUGGGUUGUAAACUGCUUUUUAAGGGAAUAAAGAGGGGCACGUGUGCCCUG